rnacentral:rRNA from 1 species
GAUGAACGCUGGCGGCGUGCCUAAUACAUGCAAGUCGAGCGAACAGACGAGGAUCUUGCUCCUCUCACGUUAGCGGCGGACGGGUGAGUAACCCGUGGAGAGCCAACCUAUCUGACUGGGACAACUAAGGGACACCGGAGCUAAGAGCGGAAAAUAUAAUGAACCUCAUGAUUCACUAGUGACAGACGGUUUUGCUGUCACUUAUAGAUGUAUCCGCGCCGCAUUCGCGAGUUGGUAAGGUAACGGCUUACCAAGGCACCGAUGCGUAGCCGACCUGAGCGGGUGAUCGGCCACACUGGAAGUGAGACACGGUCCAGACUGGUACGGGAGGAAGCAGUAGGGAAUCAUGCGCAGCAGGCGAAAGGAUGACGGAGCAACGCGGCGUGGGUGGUGAAGGUCAUGGGAUCGGAAAACUGUGUUAUUAGGGAAGAACAAAUGUGUAAGUAGCUGUGGACGUCUUGACGGUACCUAGUCAGAAAGCAACGGCUAACUACGUG